rnacentral:rRNA from 1 species
UUACUAUAGCUUGACACUGAACAUUGAGCCUUGAUGUGUAGGAUAGGUGGGAGGCUUUGAAGCGUGGACGCCAGUCUGCGUGGAGCCGACCUUGAAAUACCACCCUUUAAUGUUUGAUGUUCUAACGUGGACCCGUAAUCCGGGUUGCGGACAGUGUCUGGUGGGUAGUUUGACUGGGGCGGUCUCCUCCUAAAGAGUAACGGAGGAGCACGAAGGUUGGCUAAUCCUGGUCGGACAUCAGGAGGUUAGUGCAAUGGCAUAAGCCAGCUUGACUGCGAGCGUGACGGCGCGAGCAGGUGCGAAAGCAGGUCAUAGUGAUCCGGUGGUUCUGAAUGGAAGGGCCAUCGCUCAACGGAUAAAAGGUACUCCGGGGAUAACAGGCUGAUACCGCCCAAGAGUUCAUAUCGACGGCGGUGUUUGGCACCUCGAUGUCGGCUCAUCACAUCCUGGGGCUGAAGUAGGUCCCAAGGGUAUGGCUGUUCGCCAUUUAAAGUGGUACGCGAGCUGGGUUUAGAACGUCGUGAGACAGUUCGGUCCCUAUCUGCCGUGGGCGCUGGAGAACUGAGGGGGGCUGCUCCUAGUACGAGAGGACCGGAGUGGACGCAUCACUGGUGUUCGGGUUGUCAUGCCAAUGGCACUGCCCGGUAGCUAAAUGCGGAAGAGAUAAGUGCUGAAAGCAUCUAAGCACGAAACUUGCCCCGA